rnacentral:rRNA from 1 species
UACGGAAGGCAGCAGUGGGGAAUAUUGCACAAUGGGCGCAAGCCUGAUGCAGCCAUGCCGCGUGUAUGAAGAAGGCCUUCGGGUUGUAAAGUACUUUCAGCGGGGAGGAAGGCGAUGCGGUUAAUAACCGCGUCGAUUGACGUUACCCGCAGAAGAAGCACCGGCUAACUCCGUGCCAGCAGCCGCGGUAAUACGGAGGGUGCAAGCGUUAAUCGGAAUUACUGGGCGUAAAGCGCACGCAGGCGGUCUGUUAAGUCAGAUGUGAAAUCCCCCGGGCUUAACCUGGGAACUGCAUUUUGAAACUGGCAGGCUUGAGUCUUGUAGAGGGGGUGAAAUUCCAGGUGUAGCGGUGAAAUGCGUAGAGAUCUGGAGGAAUACCGGUGGCGAAGGCGGCCCCUGGGACAAAGACUGACGCUCAGGUGCGAAAGCGUGGGGAGCAAACAGGGAUUAGAUACC